rnacentral:rRNA from 1 species
UGACCUGCGGAGGGAUCAUUACCGAGCUCGGGCUAACCGCCCGACCUCCCAACCCUUCUGUCGUCUCCGACCGCGUUGCCUCGGGGGUCCCGCCGUCUGGCGGCCCCCGGAGGACCACAUAACACUGCGUAACCGUCGUCCGAGUCUAAACGAAAUUUGAAACACAACUUUCAACAACGGAUCUCUUGGCUCUGGCAUCGAUGAAGAACGCAGCGAAAUGCGAUAAGUAAUGUGAAUUGCAGAAUUCCGUGAAUCAUCGAAUCUUUGAACGCACAUUGCGCCCCUCGGUAUUCCGGGGGGCAUGCCUGUUCGAGCGUCAUUACACCAAUCAAGCCUCGGCUUGGUCUUGGGCGUCGCGGUCUCCCGCGUGCCUCAAUGUCGCCGGCUGGUGCGACCGUCUCUAAGCGUUGUGAAUCAACAGUCGCUCCGGAGGUCGGUCGGGCCGCGCCGUCAAGCCUUCUUUUACAGGUUGACCUCGGAUCAGGUAGGGAUACCCGCUGAACUUAAGCAUAUCAAUAAGCGGAGGAAAAGAAACCAACAGGGAUUGCCCUAGUAACGGCGAGUGAAGCGGCAACAGCUCAAAUUUGAAAUCUGGCGUCAGCCCGAGUUGUAAUUUGUAGAGGAUGCUUCUAGGCAGCGGCCGGUCUAAGUUCCUUGGAACAGGACGUCACAGAGGGUGAGAAUCCCGUAUGUGACCGGUUGGCACCUUAUACGUAGCUCCUUCGACGAGUCGAGUUGUUUGGGAAUGCAGCUCUAAAUGGGAGGUAAAUUUCUUCUAAAGCUAAAUACCGGGCCAGAGACCGAU